GCGCGAUUUGACAGAUGGUUACGACGAUGAUCGAGCGGACUUCGAAUCCGAAGGUCGCAGGUUCGAUCCCUGCCGGGCGCACCA
rnacentral:tRNA from 1 species